GCCGGGCGCAGUGGCCCACGCCUGUCAUCCCAGCAGCUCGGGAGGCUGAGGCAGGAGGAUCGCAAGGUGGAGGCCAGCCUCAAUAAUCCGUUGAGAGAGAGAUCCUCAGCCAUUCCGCGAGACCCUGUCUCUA
rnacentral:sRNA from 1 species